rnacentral:rRNA from 1 species
UACGGGGGGGCAAGGCGUUGUUCGGAAUUACUGGGCGUAAAGGGCUCGUAGGCGGCCAACUAAGUCGGACGUGAAAAUCCCUACGGCCUUAACCCGGGGAACUGCCGUCUGAUACUGGAUGGCUUGAAUCCGGGAGAGGGAUGCGGAAUUCCAGGUGUAGCGGUAGAAAUGCGUAGAUAUCUGGAGGAACACCGGUGGCGAAGGCGGCAUCCUGGACCGGCAUUGACGC